rnacentral:rRNA from 1 species
UACGGAAGGCAGCAGUAGGGAAUCUUGCGCAAUGGGGGAAACCCUGACGCAGCCAUGCCGCGUGAAUGAUGAAGGUCUUAGGAUUGUAAAAUUCUUUCAGCGGGGAAGAUAAUGACUGUACCCGCAGAAGAAGCUCCGGCUAACUUCGUGCCAGCAGCCGCGGUAAUACGAAGGGGCUAGCGUUGCUCGGAAUUACUGGGCGUAAAGGGCGCGUAGGCGGGUGUUUAAGUCAGAGGUCAAAUCCCAGGGCUCAACCCUGGAACUGCCUUUUGAUACUGGGCACCUAGAGUACGGGAGAGGUGUGUGGAACUCCGAGUGUAGAGGUGAAAUUCGUAGAUAUUCGGAAGAACACCAGUGGCGAAGGCGACACACUGGCCCGUUACUGACGCUGAGGCGCGAAAGCGUGGGGAGCAAACAGGGAUUAGAUACCCGU